rnacentral:rRNA from 1 species
UACGGGGGGAGCAAGCGUUAAUCGGAAUUACUGGGCGUAAAGCGUGCGCAGGCGGUUUUGUAAGCCAGAUGUGAAAUCCCCGGGCUUAACCUGGGAAUGGCAUUUGGGACUGCAUGGCUAGAGUGCGGCAGAGGGGGAUGGAAUUCCGCGUGUAGCAGUGAAAUGCGUAGAUAUGCGGAGGAACACCGAUGGCGAAGGCAAUCCCCUGGGCCUGCACUGACGCUCAUGCACGAAAGCGUGGGGAGCAAACAGG